rnacentral:rRNA from 1 species
UACGAGGGGAGCAAGCGUUGUUCGGAUUUACUGGGCGUAAAGGGCGCGUAGGCGGCCACGACAAGUCACUUGUGAAAUCUCCGGGCUUAACCCGGAAAGGUCAAGUGAUACUGUCGGGCUAGAGUGCAGAAGGGGCAACUGGAAUUCUCGGUGUAGCGGUGAAAUGCGUAGGUAUCGAGAGGAACACCUGCGGCGAAGGCGGGUUGCUGGGCUGACACUGACGCUGAGGCGCGAAAGCCAGGGGAGCGAACGGG